rnacentral:lncRNA from 1 species
CGGACACCGGCUUCAGCGCCCGAGCGUGCGCGCGCGUCUCCGCUCGUCGCCCGGCUCGGCGUCGGGAGUGCACUCUGUGUGGCCGCUGCUGCAGUGUUGUUGUGGUUGUGAGAAGGCGGCGGCGGCGGCGGAGUAGCAGCCGGACCAGACGCCCUAGUAGCUCAGUCGCUGCCCUGCGCCGGGCCUGGCAGGGAGCCUGGUGAGAUGGUGGAGGAGGAGGCUGUGCCGUGGCGGGCCUUGCCAUGUCCUGCUGCCUGGAGGGAAGGAAUUCAUGGAGGGCUAAAAAUUUUGGAGAGGACAAAGUUUUAAGGAGUCUCAAUACCAAAUCCUCAUCUUGGCUCUGCCUUCAAGUUACUGUUUCUUUGGAU